GAUGAAGAACGGAGCGAAAUGCGAUACUUGGUGUGAAUUGCAGAAUCCCGUGAACCAUCGAGUCUUUGAACGCAAGUUGCGCCCGAAGCCACUAGGCCGAGGGCACGCCUGCCUGGGCGUCACACGCCGUUGCCCCCCCAUCUACUCCUUCGGGAUUGCGGGGGGGCGGAUGAUGGCCUCCUGUGCGCCUAGCCGCGCGGUUGGCAUAAAUACCAAGUCCUCGGCGACGCACGCCACGACAAUCGGUGGUUGCGAAACCUCGGUUGCCCGUCGUGUGCGUUCGUCGCGCAUCGAGGGCUCGAAAAAAUGCUCGGCUCCGGCUGGGCUUUCAACGCGACCCCAGGUCAGGAGGGGUUACCCGCUGAAUUUAAGCAUAUCAAUAAGCGGAGGA
rnacentral:misc_RNA from 1 species